rnacentral:tRNA from 1 species
GUAAAGUUAGUUUAAAAUAAAAUAACAGAUUGUGGGUUUGUAGAUAAAAUAAUAAGUUUACUUUAUU